rnacentral:rRNA from 1 species
CAAGCGUUAGGCGGAAUCACUGGGCUUAAAGCGUGUGUAGGCGGGCGAUCAAGUACGUUGUGAAAUCCCACGGCUCAACCGUGGAACUGCUGGGUAUACUGGUUGUCUUGAGCCAGCUAGGGGCGAGCGGAACAGACGGUGGAGCGGUGAAAUGCGUAGAUAUCGUCUGGAACGCCGAAGGUGAAAACAGCUCGCUGGGGCUGCGCUGACGCUGAGACACGAAAGCCAGGGGAGCGAACGGG